GAGUUUGAUCAUGGCUCAGGAUGAACGCUGGCGGCGUGCCUAAUACAUGCAAGUCGAGCGAACGGACGAGAAGCUUGCUUCUCUGAUGUUAGCGGCGGACGGGUGAGUAACACGUGGAUAACCUACCUAUAAGACUGGGAUAACUUCGGGAAACCGGAGCUAAUACCGGAUAAUAUUUUGAACCGCAUGGUUCAAAAGUGAAAGACGGUCUUGCUGUCACUUAUAGAUGGAUCCGCGCUGCAUUAGCUAGUUGGUAAGGUAACGGCUUACCAAGGCAACGAUGCAUAGCCGACCUGAGAGGGUGAUCGGCCACACUGGAACUGAGACACGGUCCAGACUCCUACGGGAGGCAGCAGUAGGGAAUCUUCCGCAGUGGGCGAAAGCCUGACGGAGCAACGCCGCGUGAGUGAUGAAGGUCUUCGGAUCGUAAAACUCUGUUAUUAGGGAAGAACAUAUGUGUAAGUAACUGUGCACAUCUUGACGGUACCUAAUCAGAAAGCCACGGCUAACUACG
rnacentral:rRNA from 1 species